CGGGGGUUGGCAAGCGUUGUUCGGAGUAACUGGGCGUAAAGCGAGCGCAGGCGGUUCGAUCAGUCUGAAGUGAAAUCCCGGGGCUCAACCCCGGACCUGCUUUGGAUACUGUCGAGCUAGAGUACGUGAUAGGAAGGUAGAAUUCCAGGUGUAGCGGUGAAAUGCGUAGAUAUCUGGAGGAAUACCGGUGGCGAAAGCGGCCUUCUGGCACGAUACUGACGCUGAGGCUCGAAAGCGUGGGGAGCAAACGGGAUUAGAUACCCCGGUAGUCCACGCCGUAAACGUUGUGCACUAGGUGUAGGAGGUAUUUGACCCCUUCUGUGCCGCAGCUAACGCAUUAAGUGCACCGCCUGGGGAGUACGGUCGCAAGACUG
rnacentral:rRNA from 1 species